UACGUAGGGGGCGAGCGAUGCCCGAAUUUACUGGGCGUAAAGCGCACGUAGGCGGCUUCGUAAGUCUGGUGUGAAAUCUCACGGCUCAACCGGGAGGCUGCACCGGAUACUGCGAAGCUCGAGGACGGGAGGGGAGAUUGGAAUUCCCGGUGUAGCGGUGAAAUGCAUUGAUAUCGGGAGGAACACCAGUGGCGAAAGCGGAUCUCUGGGCCGUAGCUGACGCUGAGGUGCGAAAGCUGGGGGAGCGAAAGGG
rnacentral:rRNA from 1 species